rnacentral:lncRNA from 1 species
AUGGACCUACUAGAUAAUAACCUGGUCAGUGCUGUAGUUGACCUACUGGAUAAUAACCUGGUCGGUGCUGUAGUGGACCUACUGGAUAAUAACCUGGUCGGUGCUGUAGUGGACCUACUGGAUAAUAACCUGGUCGGUGCUGUAGUGGACCUACUGGAUAAUAACCUGGUCGGUGCUGUAGUUGACCUACUGGAUAAUAACCUGGUCGGUGCUGUAGUGGACCUACUGGAUAAUAACCUGGUCGGUGCUGUAGUUGACCUACUGGAUAAUAACCUGGUCGGUGCUGUAGUUGACCUACUGGAUAAUAACCUGGUCGGUGCUGUAGUGGACCUACUGGAUAAUAACCUGGUCGGUGUUGUAGUGGACCUACUGGAUAAUAACCUGGUCGGUGCUGUAGUGGACCUACUGGAUAAUAACCUGGUCGGUGCUGUAGUGGACCUACUGGAUAAUAACCUGGUCGGUGCUGUAGUGGACCUACUGGAUAAUAACCUGGUCGGUGCUGUAGUGGACCUACUGGAUAAUAACCUGGUCGGUGCUGUAGUGGACCUACUGGAUAAUAACCUGGUCGGUGCUGAAGUGGACCUACUGGAUAAUAACCUGGUCGGUGCUGAAGUGGACCUACUGGAUAAUAACCUGGUCGGUGCUGUAGUGGACCUACUGGAUAAUAACCUGGUCGGUGCUGUAGUGGACCUACUGGAUAAUAACCUGGUCGGUGCUGUAGUGGACCUACUGGAUAAUAACCUGGUCGGUGCUGUAGUGGACCUACUGGAUAAUAACCUGGUCGGUGCUGUAGUGGACCUACUGGAUAAUAACCUGGUCGGUGCUGUAGUGGACCUACUGGAUAAUAACCUGGUCGGUGCUGUAGUGGACCUACUGGAUAAUAACCUGGUCGGUGCUGUAGUGGACCUACUGGAUAAUAACCUGGUCGGUGCUGAAGUGGACCUACUGGAUAAUAACCUGGUCGGUGCUGUAGUGGACCUACUGGAUAAUAACCUGGUCGGUGCUGUAGUGGACCUACUGGAUAAUAACCUGGUCGGUGCUGUAGUGGACCUACUGGAUAAUAACCUGGUCGGUGCUGUAGUGGACCUACUGGAUAAUAACCUGGUCGGUGCUGUAGUGGACCUACUGGAUAAUAACCUGGUCGGUGCUGUAGUGGACCUACUGGAUAAUAACCUGGUCGGUGCUGAAGUGGACCUACUGGAUAAUAACCUGGUCGGUGCUGAAGUGGACCUACUGGAUAAUAACCUGGUCGGUGCUGUAGUGGACCUACUGGAUAAUAACCUGGUCGGUGCUGUAGUGGACCUACUGGAUAAUAACCUGGUCGGUGCUGUAGUGGACCUACUGGAUAAUAACCUGGUCGGUGCUGUAGUGGACCUACUAGAUAAUAACCUGGUCGGUGCUGUAGUGGACCUACUGGAUAAUAACCUGGUCGGUGCUGUAGUGGACCUACUGGAUAAUAACCUGGUCGGUGCUGUAGUGGACCUACUGGAUAAUAACCUGGUCGGUGCUGUAGUGGACCUACUGGAUAAUAACCUGGUCGGUGCUGUAGUGGACCUACUGGAUAAUAACCUGGUCGGUGCUGUAGUGGACCUACUGGAUAAUAACCUGGUCGGUGCUGUAGUGGACCUACUGGAUAAUAACCUGGUCGGUGCUGUAGUGGACCUACUAGAUAAUAACCUGGUCGGUGCUGUAGUGGACCUACUGGAUAAUAACCUGGUCGGUGCUGUAGUGGACCUACUGGAUAAUAACCUGGUCGGUGCUGUAGUGGACCUACUGGAUAAUAACCUGGUCGGUGCUGUAGUGGACCUACUGGAUAAUAACCUGGUCGGUGCUGUAGUGGACCUACUGGAUAAUAACCUGGUCGGUGCUGUAGUGGACCUACUGAACCAACACUACUACGUUGUGACUGGCUCCAUUCAGUCUUUUGUAGCAACAUUUGAAAUGUUGUGUUUUUACACUGGAUAA